UACGAAGGGGGCUAGCGUUGUUCGGAAUUACUGGGCGUAAAGCGCACGUAGGCGGCUUGGUAUGUCGGGUGUGAAAUCCCCGGGCUCAACCUGGGAACUGCAUCCGAAACUGCCUUGCUCGAGUAUGGGAGAGGGAAGUGGAAUUUCCGGUGUAGCGGUGAAAUGCGUAGAUAUCGGAAGGAACAUCAGUGGCGAAGGCGGGUUGCUGGGCCGACACUGACGCUGAUGCGCGAAAGCCAGGGGAGCGAACGGG
rnacentral:rRNA from 1 species